rnacentral:sRNA from 1 species
AAAGGAUUAUUUUUGUUCGGUGUAAAAGAAGUUUAAGAAUUCGAUUUUUCAUCUUGAUGAUCACUUUGGGCAAGGAUAGUAACAUUUUGUGUGUUUAACGCACUAGGAGGAAAUAAUUAUGGAACAAGGUACAGUUAAAUGGUUUAAUGCAGAAAAAGGUUUCGGAUUUAUCGAACGCGAAGGUGGAGAGGACGUAUUUGUUCAUUUCUCUGCUAUCCAAUCAGAAGGUUUCAAAUCAUUAGACGAAGGUCAAAAAGUUACUUUUGACGUUGAGCAAGGUGCUCGUGGACCUCAAGCAGCAAACGUUCAAAAAGCAUAAUAAUUAUUUAUAAUAAAACAGGUCCUUUUUAAAAGGGCCUGUUUUU